rnacentral:rRNA from 1 species
GAGUUUGAUCUUGGCUCAGGACGAACGCUGGCGGCGUGGAUUAGGCAUGCAAGUCGCGCGACAGACCCUCGGGUUAUGGAGCGGCGAACGGGUGAGUAACACGUGAACAAUCUGUCCCUACAUUCCGGAUAAUUGGCCGAAAGGCCUUGUAAUACGGGGGAGGGUCCUCGGGAGGCAUCUUUUGAGGAAGGAAGGCGCAAGCCGUGCAGGGAGGAGUUCGCGGCCUAUCAGUUAGUUGGUGGGGUAACGGCCUACCAAGACGACGACGGGUAGCUGGUCUGAGAGGAUGGUCAGCCACAUUGGAACUGAGAUACUGUCCAGACUCCUACGGGAGGCUGCAGUCGAGAAUCUUGGGCAAUGCACGAAAGUGUGACCCAGCGACGCCGCGUGGAGGAUGAAGGUCCUUGGAUUGUAAACUCCUUUUAUUGGGGAAGAAUGCCUUCGGGUUUGACGGUACCAAUGAAUAAGCCACGGCUAACUACGUGCCAGCAGCCGCCGU